GGGCCCAUAGCUCAGGCGGUCAGAGCUGCCGGCUCAUAACCGGUAGGUCGUGCGUUCGAGUCGCACUGGGCCCACCG
rnacentral:tRNA from 1 species